rnacentral:misc_RNA from 1 species
AGCUGAUUCAGUUGGUGGAGAAUCGCUCGUUGCAUUCACUGAAGUAUUUUUCACUGAAAUGGAGGAGCGAUUGCCAGGAAUUGAUGCCAAUGAAGAUCUGUGUGCAUUACCACCAGUGUUCUUGUUUACUCCCUUCGACAUCACUCUGUUUAAUGCAUUCUUGCUUGAAUUCUUCAGCUGAGAAUCCUCAGAAAUUUGGGUCCUUGAUUUAAUACCAUUUUCCCCUGUGCGCUUGGCGACUGUUUUAACUGGAUAUUUGUCAAUGCUCUUGUCCAUGACAUCAGUACUAGCCCCUCUUGCAGGAAACGAAAGGCUCUGAGAAAGAACUCGCCUGUUUGGUCGAGGAGACUGAGCAAAGCCUGAUAAGGUUGGUUUCUCCUUAGCCAGUUUGUUGUUCUUCGAAGAACCUACUGCUGUUCCAGGUUCCUUUGAAGCUUUUCCAUUUUUACUCUUGGGAACAGUCAUAGAAGCUUGUAUCUUAUUUUUGGAAGAACUAAGGUUCUCAGAUUCUGCCACUGGUUCAGAAAUCUCUUUCUGAGUGAGAGCUUUUUGAACAUUGUCAACAUUCUCACCCUCUUUUGUCAAAUCCACAACUGAAUUAUCCACUUGUGGCAUCUCAACUGCACAACUCUCGUCCUCCACAUUAACUCCAUUUUCAGAUUCCAUCACCUGGGAAACUGAAAACAGAGCAAGAGUAGAAAAGCAGAUCGAAAGCGCUUAGCACUGAAAUGGGUUUUAGUGCUUGAGAGAAUUCACCAUGAAAGCUACAGAAGGUUGGUG